rnacentral:rRNA from 1 species
UGCGAGUCACGCCGCAAGGCGUGGCAUACGGCUCAGUAACACGUAGUCAACAUGCCCAAAGGACGUGGAUAACCUCGGGAAACUGAGGAUAAACCGCGAUAGGCCAAGGUUUCUGGAAUGAGCCAUGGCCGAAAUCUAUAUGGCCUUUGGAUUGGACUGCGGCCGAUCAGGCUGUUGGUGAGGUAAUGGCCCACCAAACCUGUAACCGGUACGGGCUUUGAGAGAAGGAGCCCGGAGAUGGGCACUGAGACAAGGGCCCAGGCCCUAUGGGGCGCAGCAGGCGCGAAACCUCUGCAAUAGGCGAAAGCUUGACAGGGUUACUCUGAGUGAUGCCCGCUAAGGGUAUCUUUUGGCACCUCUAAAAAUGGUGCAGAAUAAGGGGUGGGCAAGUCUGGUGUCAGCCGCCGCGGUAAUACCAGCACCCCGAGUUGUCGGGACGAUUAUUGGGCCUAAAGCAUCCGUAGCCUGUUCUGCAAGUCCUCCGUUAAAUCCACCCGCUUAACGGAUGGGCUGCGGGGGAUACUGCAGAGCUAGGAGGCGGGAGAGGCAAACGGUACUCAGUGGGUAGGGGUAAAAUCCUUUGAUCUACUGAAGACCACCAGUGGCGAAGGCGGUUUGCCAGAACGCGCUCGACGGUGAGGGAUGAAAGCUGGGGGGAGCAAACCGGAUUAGAUACCCGGGUAGUCCCAGCUGUAAACGAUGCAGACUCGGUGAUGGGCUGGCCUUGUGCCAACCCAGUGCCGCAGGGAAGCCGUUAAGUCUGCCGCCUGGGGAGUACGGUCGCAAGACUGAAACUUAA